UACAGAGGUCUCAAGCGUUGUUCGGAUUUAUUGGGCGUAAAGGGCGCGUAGGCGGCGGGGUAAGUCGGGUGUGAAAUCUCAGGGCUCAACCCUGAAACUGCACUUGAUACUGCUCUGCUUGAGGACUGGAGAGGAGACUGGAAUUCACGGUGUAGCAGUGAAAUGCGUAGAUAUCGUGAGGAAGACCAGUGGCGAAGGCGGGUCUCUGGACAGUUCCUGACGCUGAGGCACGAAGGC
rnacentral:rRNA from 1 species